GACCGCUUAAAAACGCAGCGUUUCGAGUCUUCGGGCUCGGCCCUUCGCUCGCUCUCUGGUAGCAGCCAAAACGAGGAUUUUUUGUGUUUUCAAGUUGGAGAAAGAAUGAAAGGGGACGAGAAGGCGGAGGACAAUGGCGUGAAGAAGGUGAUGUCGCCAUGCGACGUGGAGGCUCUGAAGAAGUGCUUGGAAGAGAACAAAGGCGACUACCUGAAGUGCCAAUCGCAGAUCGAAGCUUUCAAAUCCUCUUGUUCCCUGAAGAAGCCGGCCUCAGUCUCCCCCGUCGAAUCUACUCCAUAACUCGACCUCGCGAGCGUCAGCGAUCAAGUGCACAAAGAUUCUCGGUUUCGAAUCGCUCCAUGCGUUUCCGUUCUCUCAAAUUCGCGACUAGCUUGUGGAUCGAAAGAAGGAUGCUGCCGGGCUUAAAAACCGUCCACGAUCCCAGCUCGACGAUAUUUCUUCGAUGAAAUCGAUUAGGCGAUUGUGAUGUUGCUCAUUGGUUAUGAAAUAAAAGCUGUUCAAGUUUUGC